rnacentral:rRNA from 1 species
CCUGCACGAAUGGUGUAACGACUUCCCCACUGUCUCAACGAGAGUCUCGGCGAAAUUGUAGUACCCGUGAAGAUGCGGGUUACCUGCGAUAAGACGGAAAGACCCCGUGAACCUUCACUGUAACCUGGCAUUGAAUUUUGGUUCAUCAUGUGUAGGAUAGGUGGGAGACUAUGAAACCUGGCCGCUAGGCUGGGUAGAGUCGACGUUGAAAUACCACCCUUGCUGAACUCGAAUUCUAACCUGCGUCAACAAACGCGGAGACAUUGUCAGGCGGGCAGUUUGACUGGGGCGGUCGCCUCAUAAAGCGUAACUGAGGCGCCCAAAGGUCUUCUCAGCGCGGACGGAAAUCGCGCAAAGAGUGCAAAGGCAAAAGAAGGCUUAACUGUGAGACAAACAAGUCGAUCAGGUACGAAAGUAGGG